rnacentral:rRNA from 1 species
UGGGGAAUAUUGCACAAUGGAGGGAACUCUGAUGCAGCGACGCCGCGUGAGUGAUGAAGGAAUUCGUUUCGUAAAACUCUGUUCUAUGGGAAGAAAAGGACUGUACCAUAGGAGAAAGCUCCGGCUAAAUACGUGCCAGCAGCCGCGGUAAUACGUAUGGAGCGAGCGUUGUCCGGAAUUAUUGGGCGUAAAGGGUGCGCAGGCGGCUUUACAAGUUGGAUGUGAAAUAUUGUGGCUCAACCACAAACGUGCAUCCAAAACUGCAAAGCUUGAGUUAAGGAGAGGUAAGUGGAAUUCCUGGUGUAGCGGUGGAAUGCGUAGAUAUCAGGGGGAAUACCGGUGGCGAAGGCGACUUACUAGACUUAAACUGACGCUCAGGCACGAAAGCGUGGGGAGCAAACAGG